UACGUAGGUGGCAAGCGUUGUCCGGAAUUAUUGGGCGUAAAGCGCGCGCAGGCGGUCCUUUAAGUCUGAUGUGAAAGCCCUCGGCUUAACCGAGGAAGUGCAUUCGAAACUACUGGACUUGAAUACUGAAGAGGAUCGCGGAAUUCCCGGUGUAGAGGUGAAAUUCGUAGAUAUCGGGAGGAACACCAGUGGCGAAGGCGGCGAUCUGGGCAGAUAUUGACGCUGAGGUGCGAAAGCGUGGGGAGCAAACAGG
rnacentral:rRNA from 1 species